rnacentral:ncRNA from 1 species
UGAUUUCUGCCACCGGGUAGAGAAUGUAUCAAAAACAUUCGUAUGUACAUCGUUAGGUCAUAGAAGAUGUACAGGCGGAUGUUUUUUUGUU